UCGGCGAUCCACAAUUUCCUCUUGGAUGCUCUGGACCAUGACGCCUAACCGCCUGGAAGAUGCACAAUCUUCAAAGGUAACAAGCUGUAACACCCUCGAUGCGACUAUAACUCCCACGUGUCGAGGCACGACUUAGAGGCAUAAUCGCAUUGAAGGCAUAUGUCGCAAGUGAGGUAAUCUUCACACAACCCAUAUAAUACCAUAGGGGAAAAAGAUACAUAGUUGGCUUACAACCGCCACUUCACACAAAUACAUGAAUAAAGCAUUACAUCAACCAAGUACAAUCAGGGCCCGACUACGGAGCCAAAAUAAAAGAAGAACCCCAAAAGCGACAAAGGUCCCCGAUCGACCCCAACUGGGCUCCACUACUGAUCGACUAGAACGAAACACAUAAAGGACAAGAUCUUCAUCGAGCUCCUCCUUGAGCUUGGUUGCGUCAUCUGCACGGACUCAUCGGCACCUGCAAGCUGGUUUUGGAAGUAUCUGUGAGCCACAGGGACUCAGCAAUCUCGCACCCUCGCGAUCAAGACUAUUUAAGCUUAUGGGAAAGGUAAAGGUAUGAGGUGGAGCUGCAGCAAGCGACUAGCAUAUAUGGUGGGUAACAUACGCAAAUGAGAGCGAGACGAGAAGGCAAAGCACGGUCGAUAAAAGUAUGAUCAAGAAGUGAUCCUAGAACAACCUACAUCAAGCAUAACUCCAACAACCGUGUUCACUUCCCGGACUCCGCCGGAAAGAGACCAUCACGGUUACACACGCUGUUGAUUCAUUUUAAUUAAGGUCAACUUUAGGUUUUCUACAACCGGACGUUAACAAAUUCCCAUCUGCCCAUAACCACGGGCACGGCUUUCGAAAGUUCAAAUCCCUGCAGGGUGUCCCAACUUAGCCCAUCACAAGCUCUCACGGUCAACGAAGGAAUAGACCUCCACCCGAGACAUUCCGAUCAGACUCGGUAUCCCGGUACAACAAGACAUUUCGACAGGGUAAAAAUAAACCAGCAACACCGCCCGAAUGUGCCGACAAAUCCCGAUAGGAGCUGCACAUAUCUCUUUCUCAGGGCACACUCAGAUGAGAAACCCUACGAGUAAAACCAACCCUCAAGUUGCCCCGAGGUGGCCCCGUAGUCUACUCGGUCGGACCAACACUCAGAGGAGCACUGGCCCGGGGGGUUAAAAUAAAGAUGACCCUUGAGUCUGCAGAACCCAAGGGAAGGUGGUAGGUUGUUAGUGCAAAUGGUAAAACCAAUGUUGGGCAUUGCUGGAGGAGCUUUACUUAAGGCGAACUGUCAAGGGGUUCCCAUUAUAGCCCAACUGCGUAAGGAACGCAAAAUCCGGGAACAUAGCACCGAUAUGACGGAAACUAGGGCGGCAAGAGUGGAACAAAACACCAGGCAUAAGGCCGAGCCUUCCACCCUUUACCAAGUAUAUAGAUGCAUUAAUUAAAUAAGAUAUAUAGUGAUAUCCCAACAAGUAAACAUGUUCCAACAAGGAACAACAUCUCCAUGUUCCAACAAGGAACAAACUUCAAUCUUCACCUGCAACUAACAACGCUAUAAGAGGGGCUGAGCAAAGCGGUAACAUAGCCAAUCAACGGUUUGCUAGGACAUAAUGGGUUAGAGGUUUGACAUGGCAAUUUGGGAGGCUUGAAAGAAAAUGGUAGGCAUCGUAGCAUUGGCAUAGCAAAAGAGCGAGCAUCUAGCAAAGCGAAGAUAGUAGUGAUUUCAAGGGUAUGAUCAUCUUUCCUGAAAUCCCGGAAGGAAGAGGAAUCGAGUCCAUGAAGAAGACAAACGGACGUAGUCGAACGAAUCCUCACAACAUGACGUUACUGGAACCAACCCGAAGAAGCAAUCACCGGAAAAGAAGCACACAACAUAGUAAACAACCAACACAUGAACAUGGCACGGUGCGCAAACAAGUAUGAUGCAUGUCCGGUUUAAAUAUGCAUGACAUGGCAAAAUGCACAAACAACACUACAGCUUAAGUGGAGCUCAAUAUGCAACGAGUUGCAUAUUGACGGAGCACCACAACAAUUAUUUAGUUCCAUCUCGUUUAUGUACCCAACAAUAUUAAAUGUUGUUAAGCAUGGCAAGAGGUGAAGCAUAGUAAAACUACCUAUCUAGUCAAGUUUAAAUGAGGCCGGGAACAACAAACAACAAAUCCGGAACUCCUCAUGUGCAUAUAUUAGGUUAGGUGCUGAUCUGCCCUAAACACAAUUUUAGAGUUAUUAAACAUGCAAAGAUGAUGCCACCAUGUUAAACUAGGCAAAAUUCUACCCCAUUUACAUAUAAAGUUUGUUAGGUUUGGAGCUACGGUUAUUUAGUUAUGAAUUAAACCAUUUUAGCAUGACAUAGAGCAAAAAUUAAUCAAACAGCAUUUUAAACAUUUUAAACAUAAAUGAAAAUGACAUAUUAUGAAACUAGAUGCAAUUCUAAGCAAGUUUCAUAUAUUAAGUUUUUCAAUCCGAUGCACGGUUGUGGAAUUAUUAAAUGCAUGAUCAACAAGGGUUUUUCUGCAAAACUGUUUUACACUGGAUAAAUAGAUAAAUCACUCCUCGGGAAAAAACAUGAGUCGGGCCGAAACUAGCCUGAACUGGGCUGCACAGGAGCAAACAGGAGGUGGGCUUCCUCACGUUGGGCUUCAGGAAGCCGGGCCUUGCUGGAAGCGGUGCUGGGCCGCGGCGCGAGAGGAGGCCGGCCCACGCAGCUGGCCAGCGCGGUCAACGCGCGGCUGGACCGGGCGAGCUCCUCUCGCACGAUUUGACGAGGCAGACAACAGCGGUUCAGCGCGGCGGGGCGAGGCGGCUCUGCAGCAGUCGUCUCGUCUUUGCUCGCGUGAAGCAGAGGUGCGGCGAGGCAGGACUUGAGCGGCUGGAGACGGGAAACGGCAGCGCGGCGGCGGGAUCCAGUGGAAGGGAAAGCUGCGGCCUCGACUCCUGCGGCAAAACGAUGAAGAGGCAAGGAGAUCGGCAGUGGAGCGACGCAAGGGAAAGGAAGGAAAAAGGGGCAGGGCGGCGCAACGAAGGAGCUCACCAGUGGGUGACUCCGGCGAGGGCAUGGGGAGGCCCAGAUCGGCCGAACCCAGGGCACGGGGUGAGGCUAGAGAUUCUAGCAGAGGAGGCCGGUGUUGGCGACGAGCUCGAGGUCGUCCAUGGCGUCGAGUGCUCCAUGAAGAAGCCCAUGGCGGCGGACGCGGUCGACCCACGCCGAGGCUUGUGAGACGAGGGAGGCAAGCGCGCGCGUGUGUUCGAAGCAGCGGCGAGGACGGGACGCCGGCGAUCGGACGGAACCCAAGGCGUAAGAGCACCGCGGAGAUGAGGUGGCCGGAGUUGGGGCUCCGUGACGGCAGUGGCUCUGCAGAAAACAACGGCAUCGCAACAUGAUUCAGAGAGGGAGAUGAGAUGAGGGGACCGGAGGAAGGAGAGAAAGGGAACCAGGGCGGCACUCAACUGAGGCGGCGACUAUGGAGAUGCUUGGGACCCUCUUGGUCCAGAUCGAGCGAGGCAGGAGGAGGCCUCGGGCACCAGGAUGGAUCGAGGAGCUCGGCUCCUAGACGAGGGGAGGUUGGAGAGGAACGGCGCGGCUCUGCUGGAGGACGCCGACGGCUCGACGGGGAUGGCUGGAGGUGUGAGCUGCGCUGGUCUCAGGCAAGGCCGGUCCGACGAGGCACGGUGGGCGAAGGCGGGGUGCACAGGAGGAGCAAGAUGCGUGGUUGGGUGGAUCGAUGGAUUUGAGAUUAUGGUGGGGAAAAACGAGGUGGAGCUCGGGCUCGGUGGUUGGUGGGAUGGGGAUCCCGAGCUGGGUGAUGAGACGGGGCGGCGGCGGCGACUAGAGGAUCCCUAGAAAUUAGGGAUUUGUCCAAAAUAGUCUAGGAGUGGACUAUAUAUAUGGCAAAGAGGGAAGUUUAGGGGCUAAUCCGUCCCUCCAAUUAAAAUCGAGCGGUCGAGAAUAAAACACUAGGAAGUACAAAUAGGAAAAUGAUGACGUUUUGUAGACGUUUGGGGAUGAUCCAGACACAACGGUGGCGACACCCCGGGUCGGGUCCGGGACAACUUUCGGACGCUCACGUGAGGGGUUCGAUGCACUCUGCAGAGAGGGUUUCGGACCGUGCGAUCGCAUCGGACAACUCCGGAAGCGAAGAGGGGAAGGAGGAUGGACUAGGUGGGUUGUGGCGAGACUGCGAGGGGGAGAAGAGAGAGAGGGCCCGGCAUCUGUUUCCGGAGACCGAAAACGUCCGACGUUAGACCGGCUAUAUUGCCGCUAUAGUUAUCCGUUGGGGCGUCAAACGAACUCCGAACGCGAUGAAACUUGGCAGGCGGUCUACUAAUAACAAAACGACACCGCACGCCAACUUUCAUCCCAUUCCGAGAACAUUUCCCGGCCACUUAUAAAAUACUAUCUCGGACAUGUCGUGGGCGCGUGCGAGUGUGUCUGGGCUCGGAAUGGAGAACGGAAGGAACGAGGAGACCGGGACAGACGCAAGUUUUGAAAACAUGAUGAUGCAAUGCACAUGAUGACAUGAUGAAAUGCAACACGCAAGCAAAUGACAUGGCAACGACGGCGAAAAACUGGACGACAACUGGCACAUCGGUCUCGGGGCGUUACAACACUCCACCACUACGAGAGGAUCUCGUCCCGAGAUCUAGAAUGGCACCGGAGGGGAAGCGGAAGAGAUAAGAGAAGAGGUAAAACUAAGUUGCUUCUUUGACAAACGAGUGAAACAAUGAACCUUGAAGUGGUUCAGCCACUUCAAGAAAAGAAUAUAACGGAGAUAAAUGGAGUUGAAAGCACUCCGUUAGCAAAGAGGAACAAGGAAGAACAACUUCGGUCAGCACUCCGGUUGAGAAGUUAUGCAAGACUUGAUAAGGCGGAAAGAGCUUGAGGAAAAAGGACACAACACUCCGGUUAAAUGGAUAAACCAAGAAAAGAACAUGAUCCUGACAAAACGAAAAGAUGGGUUGAAGAGAGCAACAUCACAAUGCCUCCGGAACGAAAGAAUAGAAGAUAGGUAAUUGAAAUAAAAGAAUGUUGAAGAAAAUGCCAAGUUCUGCCACAAAAGAGUUUGAAAAGGCAUCUUAAGGAGAAGGGUCGAACGGAGUUAUUGGAAAACCAACAACGAAAGAAUAAACUUGAUAUGGUCUUAUGGAGUACAACUCAAAUUAUGAGGUGACAACCUGCCACUCACGGGAAAAGAAUUGUAUUGAUAUGAACAAGGAGACGAGAAAGUAUAUCGCACCGGAAAGGAUAAGAGAAGAACUUGGGUCAUUUAAAAGCACCAUAAAUAGCAACAAUCCUUAAGGAAGGUUUAAGGUGAAAUAUAACCCAAGAUAGCUCCAAUGACGAGAUUGAUGGAUUUAAAAUAUCCCAAUCUUGACAGCAUGUGAAUCAUGAAAAUAUGAACUCAAAUUAUCAAGAAUGACAUAAUACCACCGCCGACGAUAUGGUAGAGAGAAUUGAACUCCGGAUUACAAGAAGAAGAAUGCUUGAGCUCCUUUGAAAAGAAUCUUGAUGAACCCUUCGAGGAGGAGUUAAAUCCUUGAAGAACCAUCAUGUAGAACCUCCAUGAAGAACUCCGGUAACAAAAGGAUGAUCAAACGAAAAGAAAGAGAAGUUGAAAGCACAAGGUGAAACCUUGUAAAGAUUAGAUAGAUCUUUGGAAUGAUAAUUAGAGCUUGGAACUCCGGGAAAGAAAAGAUAAAGCAUCUCGAACUGAGAAUAUGGUAUGAUGAACCACUCCGGAAAAAGGAAUUUAUCUCUUGGAUGAAACAAGAAUAAGAAUUACAUUAUGCUUAUCCUUCACCAAUUUAAUUGAUGACAAGCAAUGGAUUCGACAUAUUACUUAUUCUCGUAGAAAGGAUUAAGAUAGAUAUAGUGUCAACUUGAGAAUGCCUUCAACGAAACCCCGGUAGGAUUUGAAAAGCACGAAUGCAUAGAUAUGAUACAUGAAGGGAUAUGAUACACGAAGGAAGAAAACUCUUGAACGAACCACCGUAAGAAUUAAAAAAAUGAACAAAGAAAAGAUAAGGAAGACGCCGGGAAGAAUUAGCAAAUGAACGAAGAAGCUUGAGACAAACUAGAUACAUGAGCACGAAGAGAUCAAGAACUGAUUAGAAGAUAUUUGAUUGAUGCACCGGCAAGAUCAGAGAAUGAUAACUAAAAGCUGAGAAUGAAUAAAUCUUAGAUGGUGGGCUCCGGAUACGUGAAAAGAAUACUCACAAUCGAAACAAUUAUGAGAGGAUGGCAACAAGCUAGAAUCACAAAUCUUGAAGAGAAUGUAGCAAGAUUAAAGAGAAACUCUUCUUCGGUCUUCAAUGACAACGAGAGACACCACCGUGAAUUGUUGAGGCACUCCGGAAUGAAUAAUGGAAAGGUUGAGCCAACGAUGAAAAGAAUUUGAAAGAUCUUGGAGAUGACAUUUGACCGAUGAUACAUCAUUCUUACGUCAAACUUCAAAAAGAAUUUGAGAAUACCUCCGGAAAAAAUAAGAAGAGUCAGGUAAGAUCCUGGGAAAAGACCUGUGGGUUAGGGCCCACUCGAAAGAACCACCGUUGAAAUGAUUAAAAAAUAGAAAGCACCGGUUGAAAUAAAUGACUUGAAUGAGAUAACAUCCUUGAAAUAUGUUUGAACGGAACUUGAAUGGAAAGACGAACCUUCUGAGAUAUCUUCAGCACUCCCGAGCAAAUGAAUAGCGAGAAGUGAAUCAUUAUGAGGUGCACCGUCAAAAGAAAAAACAAUAGAAGUACGGAAAAGAAUAUGAUCAAAAGCUUGAUUGAAUCCACCGGAGAAGAGAAUGAGUGAAGAGUGACAAACUUGAAGCUCCGUUAGAAUCUUCAUGAGAACACCGGAUACGAAUAUGAAGAAAAACGAAUGGAGAGACUUCACAAGAAUAAAGGAUACUUGAUAAGACAUCGGAUUCCUUGAAGAAAAGGGUGGGUGGGAGGGAAAACAAAGGCAACUUGGGACGAAUGAAAUGAACACCGUUGAGAAAGCUGAGAUUGAAUCUUGCUGAUAUGAUCGGAUCCAUUUGAAGAGAAGCACACCGGUUAAAAAGGAUUGACAUGACAAACUCGAUGAUCGAGAAGGAUUGGUAUUCACAUCGAAGUAUGAGAACACCACUUAGGAAAGGGAUGGAAUCAACAUUUGACUUCGAAGCAACUCGAAUACCACAGCUCCAAACAAAACAAAGGAUUAGCUUGCAGAAUAAGCCGGAACAAACAUAUGAUAGAGAUUUCGUCCGAAGUUUUCGUGGUGGGGCCUACACGGGCUCGAUCGUACAGCACCAUCAUGUACAACGCAGUGCACAUGACAUACGAAGCGUCCCCGAGUCGGCAUAGCCAAGGACUCUUUAAGACACAACGAGACGACUGUAAAACCGACCGUGAAUAGGCGAACCACUAGACGUUGAACCCCAAUUUCAUAUCAUACAUCUGUCGGAAAGAUAUCCUAAGAGCUACUUGAAUUCCCACUUAUGAAACUCCUGAAACUUUCCGGUUAUGCAAUCAGGUGUUGGGGAUACAGGGGAAGCAUAAUAUCUCACCCAAAUCUAGCAAAUCCUACAUCCAGCUGUAUCCAUCCUUCAACACAUAACCGAGAAACCUUCGGAAAUCAUCUACCUCAACCUUCGAAAAGCAUCCGUUAUACAAGUUAUGGCAAUACUCCCGAACUCCCGCCCCAGUACUGGGUGGCGUCGAGGUUAUCUCACCAACGAACUGCAUAAAGGAGAUUUUCGAUGUCGGCGUACUAAACUCAGGUAUUCCAGAAUUGCAACGAUAAAAUUAUGACGACAACACCUCAGAGCUCAACUCCCCGGGACACUUCCACAAAACCCCUGACAGGAGGCACCAAGACAAUGUUCUCGUCACAGAACUAUCGGAACGAUUCCAAGAUACCCGUGUGAUCCUAAAAUUUUUUUAGUGAAAUUUGAGAAGAGAAGAGUCAAAACUCUACGUCAGGAUGCCUUACCAAAGCGAUGAGGAGAUUGGGAAGUAAAAAGAAUUCCUAAACUCUCCGAUAUAUAAUUCCUAAAUGACUCAAAACAUUUUUCUAGACACAACUCGCCCGCUAAUAACGAUCAAGCAAUGGGGCUCCUAAGGUCGGGGAAGGCUCUGAUACCAACUUGUAACACCCUCGAUGCGACUAUAGCUCCCACGUGUCGAGGCACGACUUAGAGGCAUAAUCGCAUUGAAGGCAUAUGUCGCAAGUGAGAUAAUCUUCACACAACCCAUAUAAUACCAUAGGGGAAAAAGAUACAUAGUUGGCUUACAAUCGCCACUUCACACAAAUACAUGAAUAAAGCAUUACAUCAACCAAGUACAAUCAGGGCCCGACUACGGAGCCAAAAUAAAAGAAGAACUCCAAAAGCGACAAAGGUCCCCGAUCGACCCCAACUGGGCUCCACUACUGAUCGACUAGAACGAAACACACAAAGGACAAGAUCUUCAUCGAGCUCCUCCUUGAGCUUGGUUGCGUCAUCUGCACGGAG
rnacentral:lncRNA from 1 species